UGAUGCUGAGUGUUCUGCUAUGGAAAC
rnacentral:piRNA from 1 species